GACGAACGCUGGCGGCGUGCCUAAUACAUGCAAGUAGAACGCUGAAGGAGGAGCUUGCUUCUCUGAAUGAGUUGCGAACGGGUGAGUAACGCGUAGGUAACCUGCCUGGUAGCGGGGGAUAACUAUUGGAAACGAUAGCUAAUACCGCAUAAUAGUAGAUGUUGCAUGACAUUUGCUCAAAAGGUGCAAUUGCAUCACUACCAGAUGGACCUGCGUUGUAUUAGCUAGUUGGUGAGGUAACGGCUCACCAAGGCAACGAUGCAUAGCCGACCUGCGAGGGUGAUCGGCCACACUGGGACUGAGACACGGCCCAGACUCCUACGGGAGGCAGCAGUAGGGAAUCUUCGGCAAUGGACGGAAGUCUGACCGAGCAACGCCGCGUGAGUGAAGAAGGUUUUCGGAUCGUAAAGCUCUGUUGUAAGAGAAGAACGAGUGUGAGAGUGGAAAGUUCACACUGUGACGGUAUCUUACCAGAAAGGGACGGCUAACUACGUG
rnacentral:rRNA from 1 species